CACUGAUCUUUUUCUCCAUUGCUGGUUUUGGCUGGAUGGGCUUCAUACAUUCCUCUGCUGCCUCGUCCAAUGUGCUUGAGUGUCCUUCUUCAGGAGGACUGAUGUCCUGCGAACUUUGGUGAGAUUCCGGUCGCUGAACUUCAUUCGACUGACUUGAUUGACUUCUCAAGAAGUACGUAUCAAUGCGAGGUUCCUGUUUUCCUUCUUUCAAGCACUUUUUUUCUCCCUUGAUGUAUUUUCAGGCCCAGUGACGAGGUCACACUCCUCCAGCCGCAGGGACAGACCUGAAGCCUUUUCUCGGAUGAUGUUGAUGCGCAUGUCUUCCUCGUAGUCUUUUCCGUUCCAGGGUCUGUUGCCGUGUUAUCCAUCGCUGAGUCUUCUUCCGCCCCCACUCUCCUAGACUCCAGGGGUAUUUCCUCUUGUAUUGGGUUCGUAGCAAUUUGCGGGUGUCUUCAAAAUACUAUCAAGUACUGGAUCCUGCUGACAUGGGCAGCUAGCCCAUGCCUGCCCCAGGUGGGGUCUAUUUCCUCCUGUCAGCUGUCUUUCCAGCAGUCACAUGGUCUUUCCCUUGUUGUCAGCCAUUCUGUUUAAGGCAGUCACUGGAUGACUCCAGAGUGAAUGAUUUCAAAAACACAGGACAUGAUGUUAAAA